AGUGAACGCUGGCGGUAGGCCUAACACAUGCAAGUCGAGCGGCAGCACAGUAAGAGCUUGCUCUUACGGGUGGCGAGUGGCGGACGGGUGAGGAAUACAUCGGAAUCUACUUUUUCGUGGGGGAUAACGUAGGGAAACUUACGCUAAUACCGCAUACGACCUACGGGUGAAAGCAGGGGAUCUUCGGACCUUGCGCGAUUGAAUGAGCCGAUGUCGGAUUAGCUAGUUGGCGGGGUAAAGGCCCACCAAGGCGACGAUCCGUAGCUGGUCUGAGAGGAUGAUCAGCCACACUGGAACUGAGACACGGUCCAGACUCCUACGGGAGGCAGCAGUGGGGAAUAUUGGACAAUGGGCGCAAGCCUGAUCCAGCCAUACCGCGUGGGUGAAGAAGGCCUUCGUGUUGUAAAGCCCUUUUGUUGGGAAAGAAAAGCAGCAGGUUAAUACCCCGCUGUUCUGACGGUACCCAAAGAAUAAGCACCGGCUAACUUCGUG
rnacentral:rRNA from 1 species